CUACGUAGGUCCCGAACGUUGCGCGAAAUUACUGGGCGUAAAGGGUCCGUAGGCGGUCUGGUAAGUGGAAGGUGAAAGCCUGGGGCUCAACUCCAGAAUUGCCUUCCAAACUGCCGGACUUGAGGCAGGGAGAGGUCGGCGGAAUUCCCGGUGUAGUGGUGAAAUGCGUAGAUAUCGGGAGGAACACCAGUGGCGAAGGCGGCCGACUGGAACUGUCCUGACGCUGAGGGACGAAAGCCAGGGGAGCGAACCGGAUUAGAAACCCGAGUAGUCC
rnacentral:rRNA from 1 species